AUUGAACGCUGGCGGCAGGCCUAACACAUGCAAGUCGAACGAGUGGCGGACGGGUGAGUAAUGUCUGGGAAACUGCCUGAUGGAGGGGGAUACUACUGGAACCGGUAGCUAAUACAGCAUACCAUCGGAUGUGCCCAGAUGGGAUUAGCUAGUAGGUGGGGGAAGGGCUCACCUAGGCGACGAUCCCUAGCUGGUCUGAGAGGAUGACCAGGCACACUGGAACUGAGACACGGUCCAGACUCCGACGGGAGGCAGCAGUGGGGAAUAUAGCACAAUUGGAGCAAGCCUGAUGCAGCCAUGCCGCGUGUAUGGAAAAGGCCUUCGGGUUGUAAAGUACUUUCGGCGGGGUGGCGGUACCCGCAGAAGAAGCACCGGCUAACUCCGUGCCAGCAGCCGCGGUAAUAC
rnacentral:rRNA from 1 species